AGGAUUUAAGCCAUGCCAUGUUAUAAGUAUAACCUGCCCAGACAGGGRAACUGCGUACGGCUCAUUUACACCAGCUGUAAUUUACUUGACCUUGACAAACCUACUUGGAUAACUGUGGUAAUUCUAGAGCUAAUACAUGCACCAAAACUCCGAUCGCAAGAGAGGAGUGCAUUUGUUCGCCACAAAACCAAGCGCCCUCGGGCGUCACAUUGCUGACCCAGAACAACUCAGCUGAUCGCACGGUCUUGCACCGGCGACGUGUCUUUCAAGUGUCUGCCUUAUCAACUUUCGAUGGUAGUGUACCUGACUACCAUGGUUGUGACGGGUAACGGAGGAUAAGGGUUCGACUCCGGAGAAGGGGCCUGAGAAAUGGCCACUACGUCUAAGGAUGGCAGCAGGCGCGCAAAUUACCCACUCUCGACUCGAGGAGGUAGUGACGAGAAAUAACAAGACCGUUCUCACAUGAGGCCGGUCAUUGGAAUGGGUACAAUUUAAACCCUUUAACGAGUAUCUAUGAGAGGGCAAGUCUGGUGCCAGCAGCCGCGGUAAUUCCAGCUCUCAAAAUGCAUAGAAUUAUUGCUGCGGUUAAAAAGCUCGUAGUUGGAUCUGUGCUGGCCGCCCGGUCUGCCCAUUGGGUAUGCACUGGCGCGGUCGGCUUUUGCUGCCGGUUUACGCCCGGCGUUGGCCUUCAUCGGUCGGCGUCGGUGGGCCGGCGAGUUUACUUUGAACAAAUCAGAGUGCUUAAAACAGGCGUUUCGCCUGAAUGUUCGUGCAUGGAAUAAUAGAAGAGGAUCACGGUCCGAUUUUAUUGGUUUUGCUGACCGAGAUAAUGGUUAACAGAGACAAACGGGG
rnacentral:rRNA from 1 species